GCGAGGCUGUGGCGCGCGUCAGGAGCCAUAAUUCCCCGGGGCCUUAUCGAUCUCAAGGGAACUGUCCCUGGCCGGGUCCGUGGAUCCGGUCACAUGGUGCCCACCUACUUAGGUAGGUCUCCGGGAUCGAGCGCUUCAACGGCGUCUGCGGCUUCGCA
rfam:Afipia sp. 64-13 SCNpilot_expt_1000_bf_scaffold_199, whole genome shotgun sequence.